AUUGAACGCUGGCGGAAUGCUUUACACAUGCAAGUCGAACGGUAGAGGGGGCAACCCCUCGAGAGUGGCGAACGGGUGAGUAAUAUAUCGGAACGUGCCCAGUCGUGGGGGAUAACGUAGCGAAAGUUACGCUAAUACCGCAUACGAUCUAAGGAUGAAAGCGGGGGAUCGCAAGACCUCGCGCGAUUGGAGCGGCCGAUAUCAGAUUAGGUAGUUGGUGGGGUAAAGGCUCACCAAGCCAACGAUCUGUAGCUGGUCUGAGAGGACGACCAGCCACACUGGAACUGAGACACGGUCCAGACUCCUACGGGAGGCAGCAGUGGGGAAUUUUGGACAAUGGACGCAAGUCUGAUCCAGCCAUUCCGCGUGCAGGAUGAAGGCCCUCGGGUUGUAAACUGCUUUUGUACGGAACGAAAAGGUCUCUCUUAAUACGGGGGACUCAUGACGGUACCGUAAGAAUAAGCACCGGCUAACUACGUGCCAGCAGCCGCCGCCG
rnacentral:rRNA from 1 species